UACGUAGGUGUCAAGCGUUGUCCGGAUUUAUUGGGCGUAAAGCGCCCGCAGGCGGCUUGCCAAGUUCGAUGUGAAAUCUCCCGGCUCAACUGGGAGGGUGCAUCGAAAACUGGCAGGCUUGAGGCAGGGAGAGGGAUGUGGAAUUCCAGGUGUAGUGGUGAAAUGCGUAGAUAUCAGGAGGAACACCGAUGGCGAAGGCAGGUCUCUGGGCAUUAACUGACGCUGAGGAGCGAAAGCAUGGGGAGCGAACAGG
rnacentral:rRNA from 1 species